rnacentral:lncRNA from 1 species
UGCCUCCUGCAGACACCCUGUGGGUCCUUCUGUUUUAAUCUUAGCUGUAAGCCGUGGCAGCUGGGCAAAAUGUACUCACCCCGUUCAGCCACCCUUGUCAGCUUGUAGAGGAAAGGGGACAGAAACCUGCAACCUGCAGCUGCUGCACUGGGAAUGUGGGCAGAGCUUGCUGCACACUUCAGAACCGUUUAUUGAAUCUGCAGGAAGCCUGAAUGCAUCUGAGGAGAGACCUGCACCAUAACUGGAAAUUAAAGAUAUUUCUCCCUACCUCACAGGCAUCUCCAGGUCCAACUAGGUGGGAUGGUGUUGGUCUUUCUGGCUUUUCAUCAGCAAUCUGAGAGAGAAGACUUCUGCCUUCACGCUGUUUUCUGCACCAGUUGGUUCUGUCCCUUUUGGACCUCUCCAAAUAGCUUCUGUGGGGACCAGAGGCAACAUAGGAAUCAAAAGCUCUGUGAGGAAUCCAGAGCUACUGCAUGGAUGUCCACCGUGGUGAAAUCUGACCUGGGCGAGUCUUCAAUAGGCCUUUUGGAGAAGUUUCCCAGGAAUGCCUAUGGGCAGGUGCAGAGAGGGGGUUCUGUCCAGCUUUCCUCUGUCUUUGCAGUUCUUGCAUUGUCAAACUACAGAGUGUGCUGCAAAGUCCUGCAGUGUAGGGAUGUCCUAAAAUACUACCUUCUCAGUACUCACAGAAAAGUUAAAGAUUGUACUGCUGCUGGUUUCAUUGUGGAGGCAAAGAUGACAAAGGUACCUCUCCUCACAUGCACACACACACACAAGUGGAUGUUUUCUCAGGCACAUUCUCAACCUUGUAGAGAGCAUUUCCAAAGCAUCUUCUGAAAACAACUGAAGCUCUGAAACCAAAGUGUUCUGAAGUGCUUCCCAUUGAUUCAGAAACAUGUAGCCAAAGUUUUAUAAUUAUAAAAAUCUGUGUUUUGCCCACUUUACUGGCCAAAAAAACAUGCUACACAGGUUGUCUGUCUUCAGGGUGGUCCAUCUACAAAAUCACAGCCACCUGAAAUGAAGAAGUUCAUUAUUACUAUCUAAACUGCAAAAGAGGUAAGUUUUAAAGGGGUUAAUAAACUAUGCAAAGUUAUUAAAGAUGACCA